AGUGAACGCUGGCGGUAGGCCUAACACAUGCAAGUCGAACGGCAGCACAGUAAGAGCUUGCUCUUACGGGUGGCGAGUGGCGGACGGGUGAGGAAUACAUCGGAAUCUACUUUUUCGUGGGGGAUAACGUAGGGAAACUUACGCUAAUACCGCAUACGACCUACGGGUGAAAGCAGGGGAUCUUCUGACCUUGCGCGAUUGAAUGAGCCGAUGUCGGAUUAGCUAGUUGGCGGGGUAAAGACCCACCAAGGCGACGAUCCGUAGCUGGUCUGAGAGGAUGAUCAGCCACACUAGAACUGAGACACGGUCCAGACUCCUACGGUAGGCAGCAGUGGGGAAUAUUGGACAAUGGGCGCAAGCCUGAUCCAGCCAUACCGCGUGGGUGAAGAAGGCCUUCGGGUUGUAAAGCCCUUUUGUUGGGAAAGAAAAGCAGCAGGUUAAUACCCCGCUGUUCUGACGGUACCAAAAGAAUAAGCACCGGCUAACUUCGUG
rnacentral:rRNA from 1 species